AUCAUACAACUAACCUACAAUGACUCCAUGGAGGUUCUCCUCCCUACCGUACAUUUGAGGAACCCACAUAUGUUAACCCCAAAUAAGAAAGGAAGGAAUCAUACCCCCUUAAAUUGGUUUCAAGCCAACAUCAUAACCAUUAUGUCUUUCUCCACAAGUGAGAUAUUAGUAAAAAUUGUGUAACUUUGUCAAAGUUAAAUUACAGGUGAAACCCCCAUAUAUCUCUAUGGCAUAUCCCUUCCAACUAGGAUUCCAAGAUGCAACUUCCCCUAUUAUAGAAGAACUAUUAUACUUCCACAACCAUACCUUAAUAAUUGUGUUUAUAAUUAGCUCCUUAGUUCUAUAUCUUAUGUCUUCCAUAUUAACAACUCACCUAACCCAUACAAGCACAAUAGAUGCCCAAGAAGUAGAAACUACCCGAACAAUCCUCCCAGCCAUCAUUCUAAUUACAAUUGCCCUCCCAUUCUUACAAAUCCUA